rnacentral:lncRNA from 1 species
AUGAUACAGCCCAAACCGGUAAAGUCUCCAUAAUGCUGUGGAAGGAUACAGAAUUGCUGCUUCUGUUUAUUUUUCCAUUGAUUUCAGCCCAGGACUCUGAACUACCUGCAGUAAUGGACAGUGACAUUCUCACCGAAUUUGCAUACCAACCUGGGCCAUCGUACCUGAGUCUGAUCCUGCUGGCUCUGACCGUGGGACUGUCCGGCAGCGUUUACCUCUGUGUGCUGCGGUACAUUUGCACCGGCUGCUGCCAGCCUGUAGUUGUUGGACCUGAAGAUGAGAGCAUGUCAGGAGUGGUGUGAUAGCAGCUUUUGUUUGAUUCAUGACUGUGAGAUUGGUAUGUGUGUUGAAGCACUUAUGUUGGUCUUCUUGAGUGGUGAAAUAGACAUCAAUGUUCUUGCCUUAUUUAAGUAAUAUGGUUGAAAACAGUGAAAAUCUGGUCAACUAUUCCUGUUAUUUUCAAAAUAAAACAGCAAUGUUUCAGUCAGAGAUCACUGAAAAUCUCUGAUUAAAAUGUUAUUGUUUUAUUUCAGUUGAACAGUGUGCAGAUUUUUGGUUGAGGAAUAGCCCUAUGUUUUUCUAUGUUUCCAUUUUCCUUUUGAAAUACUUAAAUAUAAAUCACACUUUUUUAAUUAAUGUAACAGAGCUAAAGGGUCAUAUAAAGGACAUCAGAAUGUUUAAAAUGUAAGAUAGAAUUUGUAUAAUAAACUGCUUAUCGCUUGUUACUCACUUGAGAUAAAAGCAUCUGCUAUAUGAAUACUUGUAAAUGUCAAAUUCACGAUCUAAAGCCUGACUGUAUGUUGGCAGUAAAAUAAUUGAUUUAGCAUCUACAGAGACAUGCAUUUAACUACACGGAUGACACAAGUGUUGACCGAAUGAGAGGGAGGAGUAAACCAUUUUAGCAGGUUUUGGAUGCUCUGUUAGUCAAGAGAAAUCGUUAACAAGUCCUCUGCAGUACCACACGACUGUACUUUAAAUGAAUUGAAGCCUAUUUGAAACCUAUUUUUAUUUUCUAUUUUUUUGGGCCAUAGAUUUUAGUUAUUUUUAAUGAUCUAAUGAUCCAGAAUCGUUUUUUUGGAAUAGUCACCCAAUGCAACUUUCUAUUACAUUUAUAAGCAGAAUUUGAACCAUGUUGUAUAUUUUCAUGUCAACAUCUCUUGUUUAAUAAAGUAGGAUGCUCCCUGAGCAAGUGAUCAGUCAGCUGCAGAAACUGUUGCCAAGGGCUACUGCUGGAUCUAGUUGCCAUGGAAAUAGUUGCAUCUAUUUUCCUCUAGAUGGGGCUGUCACAUCAGCUGUUCAGAUCACCCACUGACAUAUAGUUAGAGUGUCAUCUAGUUUAAGUAGUACUAUAUAUAGCCAUGUGUGACACAAGUGCAAAUGAACUAUUUACAAAUAAAUAAGUUUCUAGAAUGAGACAUGUUCUCAUGCUCCUCCCAAAUGAAGUCAUGACACCAUUGUGGUUUUGCUCUUUAAACCACUUCCUCGUACAGAGAGGUGUGUUUAAAUGUUGCACUUCCCCCUCUGAAACAUUUUCCUUUGCUUACCUCAUGUUUAACAAACUGGGUUUUAAUACUUAUGAGAAAGUCAGGUAUUUAUUUAUUUUUUAAUUCAGGGUUAUAUACAUGUUUUAACACCUCAAUAAUUUACUUGUUCACUGUUAUCCACUACAUUCUAGUAGGCCUAUGUAUACAUCUAAUAUAGACAUAAAAAUUUUAAGCGAAAUGUGAAAUGUUUGUUCAUCUGUUGUGUCUGUUAUUUGAUGGCAUUUGUGGAAUAUUUUAAUAUACUUACCCCCGGUUUCACAGAGCAGACUCACGCCUAGUCCUGGACUAAAAUGUAAGUCUGAGCUGUUUUAAAUGAAAGAAACUUGCACUGACUGUUCUUAGAUAAUAUCAGUGCCUUUGUUUUGUCUCAAGAUGCACACCAUGUUUUCUUUCUAAGGUUCGUUUAUAAAAAAUCUCAACUGCCCUAACUGAACUAUGGACUAAUCCUGGUUUAGGCUAAGCCCUGUCUAUGAACCGGGCCUUAGUGUCUUUUAAUUACAUAUUUUUAAAUAAGUGUUUCAUGAACAGAUCAAAUGGUAUUUGGGGCCUCUUCUCACUUCUCUAAUUGGGCAUUAAACAAAGAAAAGGGCUCAGUUCAUAAUGGUGGGCUCUGAUGGUUUCCGGUCUUCAUUCUGCCUCAUGCAUCAGGUGUCAUAAAGCAGUAAAAAACACAACAAGUCAGCCAGUCAUUCACAUGUGAAGAGACAAGGGCAAAGACACCUGAAAGCUUUGUUGUGGUUCUCAAACAUUUGGAUGUCGUUUUCAGAGAGACAUGCAGACAUACAGGCUAGUCACAUAAAAAUAGGUUGAGUGACUGAGUCAUAAGCAUUUCUAUGAGACAUUCCGAACAUAUUUAUACUUCAAAAUUUU